UGUUUCGGUAACAGUCUACCAUAUGCUGAAGCUUUUUUUUAACAAAUCUAGAUAUUUUAGUUACUGAAAAAAUUCUUGUAUCAGAGUACUAAGAAGAAAUAGUGUUUCAAGAUCCAACUGCGUUCAUGGAAAAGUUAUUAACAAAUCCUCAUCCAGCCACCAUAUAGGCCCGUGGAAACUUGAGACUGAUAUUGAUGAAAAGAAGGAGAGAACCCUUCAAGCCAUUUUAAAUGCCAAAAAGAAGAUUGGACAAGAAAUUAGCAAAUACAAGGACCGUCUUAAAAAUGCUAAAGAAAUAAUCGCUAUAAAUUCGAGAAUGAAAUUGGUAAGAUUUAAAGUGAUAAACCAGCUGAGGCAACUGUAAAUAAUGAAUUAUAAAAAAUUUCCUGUAAAGAAAGUUCCUACAUUUAUAUAAACUCAGCUUCCAAAGGAUUCUUUGAUAUUAAUCUUUUCCCCUUAAUCAUCAUAAAGAACAAGGCCUCAUUUAAAUUCUCUCUGGUAUUCCUGCAUUUAAGUGAAAUUGAGGGGCUUGGAGGUCAAGGCGCAUUAGUGCAGUUUUUAAAAGUUGAGAUAUUAACGAUUUCAAGUGAAACUGGUCUUGAUGCAUAUUUUGUGAAAAAUUCGCUCCCAAAUUCCUAUUUUUAAACAUCAAAAAGUCAGUUUGAACUUUCUUUCUGCCUUGAGGAUCCAUGCAAUUUCGAAACUUCUAACAAGUACAUUUUGAAAUAGCAAAAACUGCACUUAUGUGCCUUGCACUCCAAGCCCCUCAUUUGAACCGAGUUUAACAGAAAGGAACCAAGCCACAUCAGCUGUUGCCAAAAUUAACUGGGCAAUUCAAUUUUUUACGAAAGGAUGUUUGUGCGGAUUUCUGUGAAAAUGAUAAGGAAUUUGCUUCGUACUAUGGAGAAAAUUCACUGAAAUUUGCACGAAAAUCUGCACUACCGUUUUCAUGUAAAAAAUUAAUUCGCCCAAUUAAAUUUGGCAAUAGCUGAUGUGGCUUGGUUCCUUUCAGUUUAACUCGGUCCAUUUGUCAUCAUCAAAAAUGAAUUGAUCCCAGGUGGUCAAUGGAAACCUCUUUAACUACUUUCUUCGAAACGAGCAGAAUUAUAUUUUGUAAUGGACCAGUAAACAAGGCAAAAAUUGUAGCGUUCUGAUGCAUGGCUUUUAACCAACACACGUUAAACACAACUUACACAAAUGACUUACUUUUUCAAUGAGCGCAAGGUUUGAAUUCACGCAUCAAAAAAUCUUAAACAGAUUGAUUAGAGUUAGUUUUAUCAAUUUCUGUUGCGCGAAUCGUGUUCUAGGUAAAAUUCUUGUUAUGACAUGUAUCAGAGUGUGUUAAUUUGUACCUUCUGAACUAGUCCCUCCAUUAGUGGACUUGCGACAAAUUAUGGAUUUACUGAUUUUCAACUUAGUAUGGCAGCAUACCACUGUGACCGCCCCCUCUUGAUCCGCCAAUGCUUCAAGUUUUGAAAAGCUCAAAAAGUUAGCGAUCAAAACUAUUGUCAAUUUUCAGUUCAAUAUAGGUUGAUUGAAGCUAACGGGUUUAAAGUUAUACCUAACAGGGUUAAGUGUGAUCAAAAUCAACACAAUUUCAAUUGCAUUUUCCUCAAUAAAUAGUACCUUGUAGAGCCACCCUUCUACAAAAUGCUCUUCAAUUUUUUCUCACCUCCUCCCAUCCAAAAAAAAAAAAAAAAAAAAAAAAAAUCGAAUUUGGGAAACACAAAUUAAAUAAAAUUGCAUAAUUUUUUAACAUAUAAUUUAACAUUAACAAUAUUAUAUGAUACCUCAAUAAUAAAAUUUAACACAUCAAAAAUACAUCAUCAACAUCUCAUAGAAUGAUCCAACAAAGACAGUGGUAGGUGACAUUGCUAUGGAAUGAACUUGGGGAAAAUAAUUAUGUAUUGUCAUCGUGGCUUUGAGCAUAAAGAGAUUUUUUUCAAUGAACAUAAGAAUUACAUACUAAUACUACAGCACAAGAGUUGUUGAAAAAAUAUAAUUUAUCUCGUUCAUAACAGAGUCAUUUUAAAUCAAGUGAAAUCAGCCGCUCAUAAGCAUUAUGGUAAAUAGGUUUAGCAUCUUACGACUUUAGGUUCCAAACUAUUGAAAUUUUUUCUUUGAUCUUUUGUUUGAGAUUAACUGCUGAGGCUUGUUGAGAUAAGCUGCUGGUUUUUAAGGGGUCCAGGGGCUGGACAAAACAGCAAAGAAAAAAACAACAUCUCUGAACUUUCCUGCAUUUAGUAUUUGGUCUGGCCUAUUUGACUGGCUUAGAGGUGACCAAUUUCAAAUAAGAUGCAGUUUACAGCGAUAAAAAAUUUAAGCACAGCUGAUUGGCAUGAUACAAAAAGAUAAAUGCUGCAUUAGAUUUUUGUAGUUUUUCCCAACACACCCUGUCAAUUGUAAAGUUGAGUUGAGGCUAAUAAGAAUGAAAAUAUUACAACUAUUAAAACAGCAACUCUUGAAG
rnacentral:lncRNA from 1 species